AGUAAAGUGCCUGAUUAAAGGAUUAUUUUGAUAGAGUAAAUUAUGUAUUUUUACCUUUACUG
rnacentral:tRNA from 1 species